UCUCAGAGAAACUAUUUAUUGACAGCAAUUAAUUCUCCACUUCCAUUAUUCCACCCCCUUUCCUUCUUGUCCCUUAUCCUCUGGCUACACUGCACCAGGGUGGAGUUCUGAUUUUUUUUUAAGAAGCCAUGAAUGAUCUGAGAAGGCUUAUUAUUUCCAGCCACUAACCAUGUCCCUGCCCUAAAAAGGAGGAAGGAGGAGUUUCAGGGGGCUGUCCUUUAUAAAACAAAGUCAUUUUUUUCUUCAGAAGAAAGUUGAAUGCAAUUGACCACCAGAUGGGAUGUUGUAGCAAUGAAGUAAUGAUGUUGAAAUAUGUUCCUGUUGAACAUGAGUCGUCUGAGGGGAAGACCGGCUUGAUUGUGAGUAACAAUUCAAAACAAGUCUUCCUAAGUUUGAUCAGUGGGAUGAACAGCGGGGAUGUCGAAAUUUGGGUGCCACAGUUUAAACUGGCUCAUUUUCCAUGUUGAGACUGAAAUAAACUGUAUGACAGACUGGUCGAUUAUUUUGCAUUAAUGAUCCCGCAUGAUGAAAGAAUAUAAUGUAAAUUAGAGGAAAAGCAUGGAGACUGAAUUUCCAUAAGCCAUAAUCAGCAGCAUCCCCAGAAUCGUCGAGGUGACAAUCAAAAAAAUAGAUAUCCAGUCUAUAACAGGACUUGGACAUGGGAAAACUUUAUCCAUUUCACUGCUGUAGUAACUGACAUUGUGGCCUUGUACGAGAUGAUUACAUUUUGAAGAGCCCUGGAAACAUCAUGAAUUAUUUGUUAACACAUGUUCCCCCUUUGUACUACAAUGCAAGUUGUGACUAUUCCGGAUUUUGGAACUCUUGUGACCAGCACAUGGAGAAGAGUUAGUUUCCUGGAUUCAAACUGAGGCCAUGGACGUGCAUGUUCCAACAAAAUGAACGUUUCUAGAUGGGAAGUAAGGACUGGCUAUCCUUCAAUAAUACUGGAGCAAGCAGGGUUUGGGCUUGAAGCGGAAGGGAACAUCAACAACAUUAGAUCAUUUUUAAACAGGGCUGCCAAAUCUAUUGCAUGACUGUUAUGUCUAAUAAGCUUGCGUCUACUUAAUGCUGAGCUCUAUUAAAGAUGAUUACUAUAAAAGAAGAUUACCAGUAAAGGAAACUUGUUAAACUGUC